GAUCAAUUUCUCUGUCCUGCAAGUCUGUGGAGACUCAAGUGGACAUAUUUCACCACAGUAACAGUUCCCUUCUAGCUCCAUGAAAGAGAGAGGGAAGUACAGGUUGCUUUUUUGUGUAUGAGGUGCCUACAAUUUCUACCACUUUUAAUCACUUUUCUAUUCUUACAUGCCUAUGGCAUCUCUGAUGAUGGUUUUGCUAGAAAAAUGUUAUUACCAUCUUAAUCAUAACACUUAAAUAACACUAAAAAUUGCACAGUGAAACCUUUGGAGAGUGAGGAAGAUUCCGUUCAAGACCUGUACAUAUGGACUCAUUCUGAGGAAAAAAUAAAUUUCCUGCUCACAACGCAGUAUUUUGUGCUUGUAAUUACACGACAUGAGAGACAUUCAUAAAUGAAUUUUGAUGCCCCUAUUUUUACUACAAUUUCAGUAGCCUGGAGAAAAUGGAUAAUCACAUCUCACAAAGUUUUCUGAUAUUUGUGCCUUUUUGCUCAAAAAGAGGACCGAGACACCACAGAUGCAACUAGGUGUCCACUGCAAAAAUUGUCUGGUAUCCCUAGAGAUGCAUAUCCUUCAGUAACCAGGAAAGAAGGGAAAGGAGAGCAGAAACGAGUGGCCUGAAGUCAUACAGCAGGAAAUAUUUUCUUGGAGAUGAGACCAAGACUCAGUCUUCAACACUGUCAAUGCACAGAACUUCAGCAGGAAAAGGUACAGUCAGAACUGGCAAUAAGCUCUCAGGAGCAGCUACACACCCAGGACCUUGUUCUUCCUGCAGUUCAGGCACCCUGCAAAGCCAGAGCCACCCCUGCUUUACUCAGCUUUUCUAUUCACAAGGGAAAUAUUCAAUUAGGAAACUCCUAUGGAGCAGAGGGGGAACUCAGCAGGUGAGGAGUCAAAAUCUCUGCAAUCAGCACUGAUAAAGGGCUGUUAUUUUGACAAACGGGAUAAAAAUAAAAAGCAUAAAAGGCUGCAGCAGGAGGCCUGAAACAGACACUGAGCACUCUCCUUACUUAGUGAGGAUGUGUUUGCCAUGAGCAUGUAGGAUGGCAAAUGAGCUGCCCAAAGCUGUUUUCUGUGGCUCACUGAAGCAUGAUGACUGGGGAAGCACAUGUUAAAAGGCCACACUC